UUCUAUAGGUCUGUUCAGUAGGUCUGUUCUAUAGGUCUGUUCUAUAGGUCUGUUCUAUAGGUCUGUUCUAUAGGUCUGUUCAGUAGGUCUGUUCAGUAGGUCUGUUCUAUAGGUCUGUUCAGUAGGUCUGUUCAGUAGGUCUGUUCUAUAG